UACGGAGGGUGCAAGCGUUAUCCGGAUUUACUGGGUUUAAAGGGUGCGCAGGCGGAUACGUAAGUCAGUGGUGAAAUCUCCGGGCUUAACCCGGAAACUGCCGUUGAUACUAUAUAUCUUGAAUGCUGUGGAGGUAAGCAGAAUAUGUCAUGUAGCGGUGAAAUGCUUAGAGAUGACAUAGAAUACCUAUUGCGAAGGCAGCUUACUACGCAGAUAUUGACGCUCAUGCACGAAAGCGUGGGGAUCAAACAGG
rnacentral:rRNA from 1 species